rnacentral:rRNA from 1 species
CUGCAGCUCAAGUGGUGAUCGCUAUUAUUGGGCCUAAAACGUCCGUAGCCGGUUUAGUAAAUGCCUGGGUAAAUUGUGUAGCUUAACUAUACGACUUCCGGGUAGACUGCUAAGCUUGGGACCGGGAGAGGCUAGAGGUACUCCUGGGGUAGAGGUGAAAUUCUGUAAUCCUGGGGGGACCACCAGUGGCGAAGGCGUCUAGCCAGAACGGGUCUGACGGUGAGGGACGAAGCCCAGGGGAGCGAACCGGAUUAGAUACCCGAGCAGUCC